CCAGCCACGCACGCCACUUUCCCCUUCACCUUUUAUUUUCUUGCUUUUUCCCCCCUUUCUCUUCCAUUCUCACUUCUCCUCGGCACAGCCUCACACACGAGAUUUUGAGAGAGAAAGAUAGAGAAGGGGCCGAGAGAAAGAGAGACCGGGAGACAGAGAUGAGCGAAGGAGACCCAACCGGUGGGCUAGCCACCGGACGGGACAGACGGCGACGCCGGGCUGGUAGGCCUCGGCUCCACGCCAGCAACGUCACCAGGUAGCAGAUUUCCGGCAUUCUUUUUGGGUUGCUAAAUAGGGAGAAAAUUGCAUCUUUUGGUAAAAGCUUGACCCCGAUGCUAAUAGCCAGUCCAGGAUACAGUAAGCCGGAGUCACUUUUUGGUAAUGGCAAGACCUCGCUAAGAGCAAUAGAUGGUUUGGGGGACUGAUGUAACCUUUGUAUUGCAUAGUAUGUUCCUCUUUUGAAAUUUAUAGUUUUGUAAAGAACUACUCUUAUGUUCAUAGAAAUAAAGUAGGUGAGUAAGGUCCAUAAUUUAUUAAAAGAGGUGUGCUUUAUGUAAAUGUAUUUUUAGGCUCAAGUUCGCGUUCCCCUUAUAUCCCAAAAUGGGGGCGUG